rnacentral:rRNA from 1 species
UUAAAUUGAAGAGUUUGAUCAUGGCUCAGAUUGAACGCUGGCGGCAGGCCUAACACAUGCAAGUCGAACGGUAACAGGAAGCAGCUUGCUGCUUUGCUGACGAGUGGCGGACGGGUGAGUAAUGUCUGGGAAACUGCCUGAUGGAGGGGGAUAACUACUGGAAACGGGGGCUAAUACCGCAUAACGUCGCAAGACCAAAGAGGGGGACCUUCGGGCCUCUUGCCAUCCGAU